CGGAAGGUUUGGUGCGGGCGGUGAGGCCGAACGGCUGGCCGACUCGUCGGACCUGGCCGGCGAGAUGCUGCGACCCCCCAGGCUGUCGCUGCUUAUGCUGCCCUCGCACUUGCUCUGUACAUGCGGACAGUGCAUGCAAUUACCUGGGUGCCUCAGCUCAUAUUUGUUGGGGUCAAGGUUCUUCUCUUUGCACGUCUGGCGAAGGAUGUCGGACAGGAGGGUCCUCGGACUGACCCGCAUCACGUACAGUUGGUUCCGCGGCAAAUGCACCUGCGACACGGAAAUGAGGCAUCGUUCCUUGGCGUCGCGGCGUUCGGAAACACGUCCACAGUCUCCAGAGACGUCGCCGUCUGCGUCUUUUGAAGCGUCUUUUGAGACACAAUAAGUUCACAGCUCUCAUCAUCACCACUGCCUCACCCUGCAGACAGCAGACAGUCAACUGUUUGAACAGUUACAGACACAAUUUCGAAAGCUGAGCUUAGUUCAUUUGCACGUGAAACUUACACUUAUCAUUGGGGAUUGAGAGUUGGUACAGUAACGUCUUGUAUUCAGAAUUUAUUCUGUUCCAUUUAUCUUUACUCAAUUUUUACCUGGUUUUCUUCAGUUUCUCAGAGAACCUCAUGUAAGUAGCUUAUAUCGCAUAGCGUUCUUCAUUUGUCUUGCUGUUCGUGUCCUUUUACGUCUAAUGCUGGUAUUAACUCAGUUUAAUUUAGGUGUUUUAACAAUUUUAAUCAUUCAGUAAGUCUGCAUUUUGUCAACAGAAGAAGCAGCGAUUAUUUCUUUAAACACCGUUAAUCACUUGAUCUUUGUAAUGGUGAAGUGUUGUUUUCUUCGCGGUACGGACUGAACUCAUAUGUUAUUUAGACGAACGUCGGUCUUCAAAUAGUUAAAUGUCUCUCCGAUCAGGAAUGACUGCUGAAAAUGGCUUGAUUCAAAUUUUCACUCAGUGUUCUUCAGAUUUUCUGAAUGAUGUUAACUCGCUGAUGACAUCACUUCACCAUUACAAACACAUACAUGUAGAUAAAUUGCUUAAUUUUGUUUAAGGAAAUAAUCGCUGUUUAUUUUGAGGGUCAUUAGAAACUCAUAAAUACAUUCUGAGGACGAAAUAUUCAGUUUUUGAAUACAAAAAUAGGUGGUACAUAUAUUUACCACCAUGCUUGAAAGAGUUAAGUAAAGCUGGUGGAAAACAUACAUCCGCGAAGUGCAUCUCGUAACAAAAUGCAGACAUCACUGUGACGAACGGGAUUAGAACUCGGUACCCAACUGUUUGUGAGAGUACAAACAUCGAUUCAUUGAAGUGUCCAGCAAAAUUUCCCGUUCUUGGGUACGUACAUUCAUCUUCUCGUCUCAUUCCACGAUAAUCUGUGUAAUAUGGAAACAAAGAAAUAAGGCAGACCUACGUAUGGUCACAGGACCGUAACAGGUUCAACGGGGUCAAAGUAUAAAGUGUGCUGUUAGAAGAAUAAAUACUGGGAAAUCAUUUGAGUGCUUAAUUUACGGAAUAGAAGAUUUUGUUUCAUGAGUUCGCCGUCACGUUGCGGCAACUUAUCCGACACGUGAGUGUCGCGUGUAGUCGUAUCAGUGAGCUGCAGGCGCACUGACCUUCAUUGUGCACAAACUUUUUCCGCGUCUAAUAAUAACAGUCUGUCCUGAAAACGUGACAAAGUUAAGAUGUCAGUGAACGACGGACGGUAACUAACCAAAUUUAGAUUCUUGAGGAGGUUAAGAGCAGUUCACAAAUAUUUUUGUCCCCGCCUGUUGUCUAAAAACGUAAAGGUUAAACAGUUAAAAAUAAAACAUUAUUUUAUUUUUGUCUUCUAUGGGUGUCUUCGAUUAAGGGAUGAGGGGUUGCGUGAUUUGCCUUCGGCACAUAGUAUUCGGACAGUCUAUCAAGUAGGAUGAAAUGGGCGGGGCAUGCAGCGGGCGGAGGGGAGAUGAUAAUAUGUACAGAAUUAUAGUUCGAAAGCCUGAAGGGAAAAAACCACACGGAAGACCUAACCAUAGAUGGAAGGAAUGGUGUGGAUUGGAUUAAUCUGGAUCAGCACUGGCAUCAGAGGCGGGGGGCUAAGAAUGGACAGAGCCUUGCCACCAUAUUCCCCUACGCCCUAAUUUUGUGAUGUUUAAGCAUGUUACAAUUUGGUAUAAUUCGUUACAAAAACACCGAGAAACAUUCUUGUACAUGCAUUAAAAAUUAUUAUUUUCCUGCAAAAUGUUUUGUUUACUUUCGUAAAACUUUUUUUAUUCCCGAAACGUCGUUUUGCCCUUCUUUCGCCCCUGAACAUCGUCGUUAAAAUACCAAACACAAGUGAUUUAGAGGGAAACGGAAUUAUAUUUAGUUUUUGAAUGAAAGUAUUGCUGUAUUUUAUAACACUACGUCAUAAAAAUGUCUCGCUCUGUUGGCGGAAAAUCAAGAGUUUAAAAAAGAAUUAUGUGAGGCGAUUGUUUUCGGACGCCAUCGGAUGAUCAUUGAGGCCAAAAAAAGUCGAAUAACGCUAUGCGCUGCCAUGGAGACGCUUUAACGCUCACUCACUUUCACUUGUUUGUAGCCUGACACGGGGCUACACGGUUUUGCGUAGUCCAUCGGUCAAAGCUUUGAAUUAACGUGUUAAGAGUUUAAAGCAAUAAGUUAUUCGCUGUCCAGUAUCUAUUACGCCCAGUCCCCCCCCCCACACACACACUUUAUUCUAAAAUACUUGCUUUUAGUUAUGAAUUAUUCGUAUUAGUAACUUUUUCAGUUCCAAAAUCACGUUUCAUAAGUUCUGUUCAUUUUCCAUCCACUUACAUUCUGCUCUAUGAAUAUUUCUUCCACGUAUUGUCGUUAUUUCGUAUUACUAAAUAAUAAUUUUAAAAUCAUUUCGAAAUAAAAUAUACGGCUGUGGAUAUGUCGAUGUUGUUGUUUCGGAGGAACAUACCAUCUCCAUCUUCAAGACUAGUUACUAUAAGAGUAAUAUUUUAAUAUCUGAACAAUAUUACACACGAAACGACUUUUCUCUCUACGUAUUUCGCUAAGACCAUCUGAAGUACUGAGACCGGAACAAUCCGGAUUCUAGGUGUUGAAAUAAAUGCUGAGGAAUUCGUAAUUAAUCACACUUUUUCCAUAAGCGGAAAUAAUAGUAAUAAUAAUAAUAGCUAAUAAAGCAGAAAUUAACUUCAAAAUACAAAGAUCUGUUUGUUCAAAUACAACUAAAGUGGAAAGUCUCCGAGAGACUGGUUGUACUUAUGAAGAAAUAAUAUUAAAAAAACUCCAUUAAACAUUUUACGUCUGUACGUAGAAGUUGUUCCCGGGUUUUUUUAAGCACGUAUCAAUUUAUGCUCGCGUGUGAAAACUUUAUUUUCUCAACAUUUAAUAAGCUGUUCUUUUUUUUUAUUAAAGAAACCUUCUGUUAGAAUGUUCCCAUGGUAACAUAUAAUUUCAAUUGUUGAAUAGUUUGCUGUAACUGUUGAUCGGUGGGAGUUCGAAUCUGCACGGACGAAUGCUGGAUAGUACAUUAAAAUAUGCCAUGACCACUUCCUUCAAAGUCCUUACUUAUUCACUGUUCAUGAUCACUUUAUUUUACAUAAAGGAAAAAAAACGUUUUAGUUGAAAAUGCACUAUCACAUAACCUGCAAAUCGCAAUUAUUUCUCACGGCGAAGUCUGAAUUAUUCCAGGUGACAAUUUAGUAAAUGCGUUAACUUUCCAACACUUCGUUCGGCGAUACGUGUUUUACUAAGCAGCAGCAGGUGACUGCAUACAACGUAUUUGAGAUGACAGCAAAAUAGCUAAAUCUGCAAUAUAAUGGGCCAAAACAUAUGCCUUAACGAUAAUAUAGAAGCUAAAGUCACAGUACAUUAUAAUAACACAACGCCAGAACAGGGUAGACCAUGACACUACAUAAAUAAUAUGAUAAGUAUAACUGGCUACAACGCUACAUUCAUUGUAAAAAUUAAAUCACUACAAAUGUACAAAAGCACACCGACAAAUCAGACAAAAUGAGAAUACGUACCAAGCUGCAGACGGCAGACAAAAUCACGCAGUGCACUAACACGGUCUUCUCCAUCCGACAUCGCGCCAAGCUGAGAAGCGGAUGUGACGUAACAUGACCACAGGACUCAACAUCGGUCCACUAUUAUUUGAGCCAUUGUUAAUUCGAGCUGCGUGUUUUCAGCAGCUGAGCGAACGUUGCCCUGGUUAGUACAGAGUUAGACGAAUAACUGACAGGAAGUUGGCUUGAUCUAUGGACAUUCGGUAGGACUCC